UUCCUCCCACGCCAUUUCCAUACUCCCACCUCAUUUUCACUUUACCCCAUGUAAUUGAAGAGAAAAAUAGAGAGAAUCGACUAAGGAAAGAAAGAAAAGAAAGGUGGAAGGCUUGGGUAGUAAGUGAGUCAAGAGAAAUUGAAGAAAUAUAAAGUGGGUCUCAAGAUUCAAUAAACAUAAGGUAAGGAUUUUUGUGUUUACAGUUCAUGGUUGGUUAAAUCUUUGGAAAAAUAAUGUGUGAAUCAUUUUGUGGUAGCUAUAGUGACCAUAGGUGUGAGGAAAUUAUGGAUUUUGUUGGGUGAAAUUCAAGCUAAAACCAAGUGGUAAGCUUAAUGCUACAAUUUGAAGCUUAUGAUUGGUUUAAUAUUGUGAGACUGAUUGUAUGCAUAUGUAGUGUUAUUGUGAUGUCAUGGAUAUGGUUGGAAGGCAAUUAUAUUAAUUGGAAGUUUGAUGUGUAGAUAUGUGUUUUUAGGAAAGGUUUAAAAGGUUAUGGAUGUUGGUGUGCAUGAAUGAAUAUUAAUGUUAUGCUUGGUGGCAACAUGUAAAUGAGGAUGGUGGUACAUGUAGACUUAGAAAAUAUUUGAUGGAAGUAAAUUUAUAGUUGUUGCCAUAUGCUAGGUAAUUAUUGUGGAAAUGAUGGAUAAACUUGAUAAAUAUCCUUAGACAAGAUUUAUAUAUGUGCUAGAGCCAUAAAUAAGUUGCUGGUAUCCAUAAUCUAAAGAAUUACGCAAGUAAAGGAUAAAGGCUACUUUGGUAAAGAAUGUGUCAAGAUAUAAGUUAGUUGAAUAAGGAUUCAUGAUUGAAGGAAAAAAAGAAGUGAAAAUGAGGUACACUAAAGAUAUUGAAUUUGGAUUGUUGCUAGGAAGUACAAAAGUAAAGGUAAUGUACUGUGACAGCGUGCCGGAGGAAAUAAUGAGCGACCAGCAAGUAGAAAUAGCUAGAUACGCCUUCGAACUAAUAGUGAUGUAACAUCUCGCUAUCGUAAGGUGAGUAAACUUGCAUUAAAAUGUUUUAGGAUAAAUGCAUAUGUGUUUAAUUGAAUCACCUGAAAUGUUUUAUCGGACUUUUCUUUAAAACAUGCACGGGAACAAGCCCUCAAUGAAACGUUUUUAUGUAGUGAAAUAUGAAUGUGAUGAAUUCAUGUGUUUCCACAUUAUGUUGAUGUGUAUGUUAUGCAUUGAAUGAUACUAUUGUGUGAUAAUUAUGACCCAGCUAUGUGCGGUGUAUGAGUGCACAUGAGCUGAUGAUGACCCAGCUAUGUGCGGUGUGGUAGUGCACAUGAGCUGAUGAUGACUUAACUAUGUGCGGUGUGGGAGUACACAUGAACUGAUGAUGACUCAGCUAUGUGCGGUGUGGGAGUGCACAUGAGCUGAUGAUGACCUAGUUAUGUGCGGUGUGGGAGUGCACAUGAGCUGAGGGAGAGUUGGGGUGAUACCGGUGGUCGUAUGUAUGUUUAUAUAUGUUAUAUAUGGAGAGGUUAUGGAAAUUAUAUUAUGCUUGCAUUGAUUAUUGAAUGUUAAAAUUUGAGAAAUGCUUUCCAAUUGAUUUUCACUACAGCAAAAAUGGAUUUUCGUUGUGACAAGAAAUUAAGCUAAAUUGCAUUGUUUUCAACAUAAGUGCAUCAUGUUUUCAAAAUCUUUCCGUAUCGUUUGCUUGUUCCCUUCCUAUGUUCACUCACUGAGUUUAUAUUCAUUAUUUUCAACUUCAUAUUUUAGUUUUCAAGUUCGAAGGUAGUUGGAUUCCUAGGCCAAGGUACUUCAUUUUAUCUAUUUUUCAGUAGGUUGCCCUAACACUAAAUGUAAGCACCCACGCCUAGAGUCACUCCGCUGACGGUUGAGGUCUUUGUAUAUGCACAUAUAUGCUUAAUGUGAAUUGUUAAGAUACAUUUGACAAACUAUCUAUGUAUAUUUUGAUUUAUGGUGCCAAUGUGAGUAUUUA
rnacentral:lncRNA from 1 species